rnacentral:rRNA from 1 species
GGCUCAGGACGAACGCUGGCGGCGUGCCUAAUACAUGCAAGUCGAGCGGACAGAAGGGAGCUUGCUCCCGGAUGUUAGCGGCGGACGGGUGAGUAACACGUGGGUAACCUGCCUGUAAGACUGGGAUAACUCCGGGAAACCGGAGCUAAUACCGGAUAGUUCCUUGAACCGCAUGGUUCAAGGAUGAAAGACGGUUUCGGCUGUCACUUACAGAUGGACCCGCGGCGCAUUAGCUAGUUGGUGAGGUAACGGCUCACCAAGGCGACGAUGCGUAGCCGACCUGAGAGGGUGAUCGGCCACACUGGGACUGAGACACGGCCCAGACUCCUACGGGAGGCAGCAGUAGGGAAUCUUCCGCAAUGGACGAAAGUCUGACGGAGCAACGCCGCGUGAGUGAUGAAGGUUUUCGGAUCGUAAAGCUCUGUUGUUAGGGAAGAACAAGUGCAAGAGUAACUGCUUGCACCUUGACGGUACCUAACCAGAAAGCCACGGCUAACUACGUGCCAGCAGCCGCGGUAAUACGUAGGUGGCAAGCGUUGUCCGGAAUUAUUGGGCGUAAAGGGCUCGCAGGCGGUUUCUUAAGUCUGAUGUGAAAGCCCCCGGCUCAACCGGGGAGGGUCAUUGGAAACUGGGAAACUUGAGUGCAGAAGAGGAGAGUGGAAUUCCACGUGUAGCGGUGAAAUGCGUAGAGAUGUGGAGGAACACCAGUGGCGAAGGCGACUCUCUGGUCUGUAACUGACGCUGAGGAGCGAAAGCGUGGGGAGCGAACAGGAUUAGAUACCCUGGUAGUCCACGCCGUAAACGAUGAGUGCUAAGUGUUAGGGGGUUUCCGCCCCUUAGUGCUGCAGCUAACGCAUUAAGCACUCCGCCUGGGGAGUACGGUCGCAAGACUGAAACUCAAAGGAAUUGACGGGGGCCCGCACAAGCGGUGGAGCAUGUGGUUUAAUUCGAAGCAACGCGAAGAACCUUACCAGGUCUUGACAUCCUCUGACAACCCUAGAGAUAGGGCUUUCCCUUCGGGGACAGAGUGACAGGUGGUGCAUGGUUGUCGUCAGCUCGUGUCGUGAGAUGUUGGGUUAAGUCCCGCAACGAGCGCAACCCUUGAUCUUAGUUGCCAGCAUUCAGUUGGGCACUCUAAGGUGACUGCCGGUGACAAACCGGAGGAAGGUGGGGAUGACGUCAAAUCAUCAUGCCCCUUAUGACCUGGGCUACACACGUGCUACAAUGGACAGAACAAAGGGCUGCGAGACCGCAAGGUUUAGCCAAUCCCACAAAUCUGUUCUCAGUUCGGAUCGCAGUCUGCAACUCGACUGCGUGAAGCUGGAAUCGCUAGUAAUCGCGGAUCAGCAUGCGCGGGGGAAUACCGUUCCCGGGCCUUGUACACACCGCCCGUCACACCACGAGAGUUUGCAACACCCGAAGUCGGUGAGGUAACCUUUAUGGAGCCAGCCGCCGAAGGUGGGGCAGAUGAUUGGGGUGAGC